CCAACCAGCGACGCUCAAUGUUGUCGCUGCCUCGCCAGGCACCUCCAGCAGGCGCCGUUCACAUCGGCCUACCCCUGAGCAGCAACACCCUUGCCCUCCAACGCUGCAGGCACCUCCGCUGUCGCUAACACCGGGCGCGCCAUCCCGGACCUCGUCGGCCACCGCCGCCGCCUCGAGACCAUCCCAUGGUCAGCGUCCACCGCAACUCACCAUAGACCUCGUCUCCAUCCUUCUCCCUCGCCGCCGCUGACGUUGGGCGCGGUGCCACCGUGCCGGAUCUCGUCAGCCACCACCACCGCAUCGAGGACCGCCGCCAGGGACCUGCCGUGCUCCUCCCGCCAAGGACCGCCCGGCUGCGGAGCUCCUCGCCGCCGAAGCCGCUCCUCGUGGCCGCCGCCGGGCUGCGGAGCUCCUCGACGCGCGGUCGCCGCCGCAGGACCUACUGCUCCUUGUGGCCGCCGCCGAGCUGCGGAGCUCCUCGCCGCGCGGUCGCCGCCGAUGCGCAUGGCAGAUGAGGGGGAGGGAGAGGUGAGAGCUAUUGAGUGGGUGGAGUGGCUGUCUCGGGGCUGGCCUCGUUCGGGACGAAUUCCUAAACGUCUGAACGCUUUCGCAUUCUGACAUGGAAUAGAAUUCAGCGCUGAGAUUCAUGCGUGGAAACUAACGGCAGCAAAGGCGUUCGGACCCAGAUUCUAAAACACUAUAGAGUUUGAUGACUUGGAGGGCUCGAAGUCAAUGGACUCCGGCGACAAGGGCUGCUGAACUUCACAAGAGCUGGUGGGUUCUUGUGUUGGCUGGCUCAUCAGUUUUCUUGAAUUUCAUGUCUCAAAUAAACCACAUCAAAGCUUUGUCAGAAGCUUCCCUUUCAGUAGCUUCAGCAUAUCCCCUGCAAUGAUCGAAAAGCUCCUUUGGUGCACGGCGUCCAGUGGCAGUAUUCAACGCGUAAAGCAGCUAGUUUGGUCCUGGAUUCAUGAGUGGGAGUACGAGAUGUUCCCCAAGCCAGCACCUUAAUAGGCAGCAAACUGGAACUGGUUGCAUUUUGUACCAAAUGUCCGGUACAAGUCACGGGCCGGUCAGUGGUUGCCAACACGCUCGGUCCCACAGCUCCCCGCCGGAGCACAUAAUUUUCCUGCACAAACAAGACGUUCAAUUAGUACAACUUAUUUUAGUUGUUAGAUAAUCAUUUUAACACUGUAGCUAAUCACUUUGACACACGAACGAAUCACUAGACGCCGUGCACUAUUAAGAAGUACCCCCUGUACAUGCAUCCAGUGCUGAUCCGGAUUACGCAAGCUUGCACAUGCAUAGGAGGAAUAAUCUGUUUGUAUUAUUACCCAGCGCGGAAGCAAAUUGCCCCAACACUCGCUAGUUUUGUCGCACUAUAACCAUUGGUUUAGACCAGUCAGCACCACAGCGCUCAAGUCAUGGUUUGGGUAGUUAUUAUGGUUUCGGCGUGGUCCACUAUCUUUUGUUGGGAUGUUUUUGUCGGGUUCAAUUGUGGUGUACAGGCGUGAGAAGUUAUUGUAUGUUAGGAGGGUUUGGCAGGUUGCACGUAUGCUCGUGGGGUCAUGAUUGGUGAGUAACCUAAUUAUGGUCUGAUUGUAUCGGUUUUAGCCCGGUUUUCCAUAAAUUAACCGGACAAUUCUUUUCUUCUUAAUUAAUCAAUGAGGCAAUUCUUUUGCCUCCGCUUUGAAAAAAAAAUCAUUUACUAUCUUCUCCUCCCUCCUCGACCCUCACCUACCCAAAGAAGCUCACGGCCGUGCUGAAGAACAAACUAUCCAGGAUCCGACUCCCCCAACCCACCCCACAAGGUGCGUGAUGCAUAUCACACCGGCGGGACGUAAUUCAUCCUUGACAAGUUUACGAAUAGCAGGGCUGCUUCAAGCGCCCUAAAAAAUAAUUGACGGUUUUCUCAAUUGUGUUUCCAAUUUCUUCAAUCAGUGGCAUUGCAACCAACUUGAUUAGCACCUGUCAUGAUGGGCUUGACGCUCCAUCAUAGCAUAAGCAUAUUUAUAUUUGAUGUCUGAUUUUAAUUACCUUGUAUUAGAGACUGUAACACUAUUUCUAAUGAAUAA